rnacentral:rRNA from 1 species
UACGUAGGGUGCGAGCGUUGUCCGGAAUCACUGGGCGUAAAGAGCUCGUAGGUGGUUUGUCGCGUUGUUCGUGAAAACCGGGGGCUUAACCCUCGGCGUGCGGGCGAUACGGGCAGACUUGAGUACUGCAGGGGAGACUGGAAUUCCUGGUGUAGCGGUGGAAUGCGCAGAUAUCAGGAGGAACACCGGUGGCGAAGGCGGGUCUCUGGGCAGUAACUGACGCUGAGGAGCGAAAGCGUGGGGAGCGAACAGG